rnacentral:piRNA from 1 species
UGUUUAUCGACUGCCCUAUCUCC